GACGGAGGAUGCAAGUGUUAUCCGGAAUCACUGGGCGUAAAGCGUCUGUAGGUGGUCAAAUAAGUCAACUGUUAAAUCUUGAGGCUCAACCUCAAAAUCGCAGUCGAAACUAUUCGACUAGAGUAUAGUAGGGGUAAAGGGAAUUUCCAGUGGAGCGGUGAAAUGCUUAGAUAUGACAUAGAACACCAAUUGCGAAGGCAGCUUACUACAUAGUUAUUGACACUGAGGCACGAAAGCGUGGGGAUCAAACAGG
rnacentral:rRNA from 1 species